UACGUAGGGUGCGAGCGUUGUCCGGAAUUAUUGGGCGUAAAGAGCUCGUAGGCGGUUUGUUGCGUCGGCCGUGAAAACUCAGGGCUUAACUCUGAGCCUGCGGUCGAUACGGGCAGACUUGAGUUCGGUAAGGGAGACUGGAAUUCCUGGUGUAGCGGUGAAAUGCGCAGAUAUCAGGAGGAACACCGGUGGCGAAGGCGGGUCUCUGGGCCGAUACUGACGCUGAGGAGCGAAAGCGUGGGGAGCAAACAGG
rnacentral:rRNA from 1 species